rnacentral:rRNA from 1 species
GAGUUUGAUCAUGGCUCAGAUUGAACGCUGGCGGCAGGCUUAACACAUGCAAGUCGAGCGGGGGAGAUUGCUUCGGUAAUUGACCUAGCGGCGGACGGGUGAGUAAUACUUAGGAAUCUGCCUAUUAAUGGGGGACAACAUCUCGAAAGGGAUGCUAAUACCGCAUACGCCCUACGGGGAAAGCAGGGGAUCACUUGUGACCUUGCGUUAAUAGAUGAGCCUAAGUCGGAUUAGCUAGUUGGUGGGGUAAAGGCCUACCAAGGCGACGAUCUGUAGCGGGUCUGAGAGGAUGAUCCGCCACACUGGGACUGAGACACGGCCCAGACUCCUA